rnacentral:rRNA from 1 species
UUAAGUUAAUAAGGGCGCACGGUGGAUGCCUUGGCACUAGAAGCCGAUGAAGGACGUGACUAACGACGAAAUGCUUUGGGGAGCUGUAAGUGAGCAAUGAUCCAGAGAUGUCCGAAUGGGGGAACCCGGCAGGUAAUGCCUGUCACUCAUUACUGUUAAGGUAAUGUAGAGGAAGACGCAGUGAACUGAAACAUCUAAGUAGCUGCAGGAAGAGAAAGCAAAAGCGAUUGCCUUAGUAGCGGCGAGCGAAACGGCAAGAGGGCAAACCGAAGAGUUUACUCUUCGGGGUUGUAGGACUGCAACGUGGACUUAAAGAUUAUAGAAGAACUACCUGGGAAGGUAGGCCAAAGAGAGUAAUAGCCUCGUAUUCGAAAUAGUCUUUAUACCUAGCAGUAUCCUGAGUACGGCGAGACACGAGAAAUCUCGUCGGAAUCUGGGAGGACCAUCUCCCAACCCUAAAUACUCUCUAGUGACCGAUAGUGAACCAGUACCGUGAGGGAAAGGUGAAAAGCACCCCGGGAGGGGAGUGAAAUAGAACCUGAAACCGUGUGCCUACAACAAGUUCGAGCCCGUUAAUGGGUGAGAGCGUGCCUUUUGUAGAAUGAACCGGCGAGUUACGAUAUGAUGCGAGGUUAAGUUGAAGAGACGGAGCCGUAGGGAAACCGAGUCUUAAUAGGGCGCAUUAGUAUCAUGUCGUAGACCCGAAACCAUGUGACCUACCCAUGAGCAGGUUGAAGGUGAGGUAAAACUCACUGGAGGACCGAACCAGGGCACGUUGAAAAGUGCUUGGAUGACUUGUGGGUAGCGGAGAAAUUCCAAACGAACUUGGAGAUAGCUGGUUCUCUCCGAAAUAGCUUUAGGGCUAGCGUCGAUGUUAAGUCUCUUGGAGGUAGAGCACUGUUUGGGUGAGGGGUCCAUCCCGGAUUACCAAUCUCAGAUAAACUCCGAAUGCCAACGAGAUAUAAUCGGCAGUCAGACUGCGAGUGCUAAGAUCCGUAGUCGAAAGGGAAACAGCCCAGACCACCAGCUAAGGUCCCAAAAUAUAUGUUAAGUGGAAAAGGAUGUGGGGUUGCACAGACAACUAGGAUGUUAGCUUAGAAGCAGCUAUUCAUUCAAAGAGUGCGUAAUAGCUCACUAGUCGAGUGACCCUGCGCCGAAAAUGUACCGGGGCUAAAACAUAUUACCGAAGCUGUGGAUACCUUUAUAGGUAUGGUAGGAGAGCGUUCUAUGUGCGAAGAAGGUGUACCGUGAGGAGUGCUGGAGCGCAUAGAAGUGAGAAUGCCGGUAUGAGUAGCGAAAGACAGGUGAGAAUCCUGUCCACCGUAAGACUAAGGUUUCCAGGGGAAGGCUCGUCCGCCCUGGGUUAGUCGGGACCUAAGGAGAGACCGAAAGGUGUAUCCGAUGGACAACAGGUUGAUAUUCCUGUACUAGAGUAUAUAGUGAUGGAGGGACGCAGUAGGCUAACUAAACCAGACGAUUGGAAGUGUCUGGCCAAGCAGUGAGGUGUGAUAUGAGUCAAAUGCUUAUAUCUAUAACAUUGAGCUGUGAUGGGGAGCGAAGUUUAGUAGCGAAGUUAGUGAUGUCACACUGCCGAGAAAAGCUUCUAGCGUUAAUUAUACUCUACCCGUACCGCAAACCGACACAGGUAGUCGAGGCGAGUAGCCUCAGGUGAGCGAGAGAACUCUCGUUAAGGAACUCGGCAAAAUGGCCCCGUAACUUCGGGAGAAGGGGCGCUGACUUAUGGUCAGCCGCAGUGAAUAGGCCCAAGCAACUGUUUAUCAAAAACACAGCUCUCUGCUAAAUCGUAAGAUGAUGUAUAGGGGGUGACGCCUGCCCGGUGCUGGAAGGUUAAGAGGAGUGCUUAGCAAUAGCGAAGGUAUGAAUUGAAGCCCCAGUAAACGGCGGCCGUAACUAUAACGGUCCUAAGGUAGCGAAAUUCCUUGUCGGGUAAGUUCCGACCCGCACGAAAGGCGUAAUGAUUUG